AACGAACGCUGGCGGCGUGGAUAAGACAUGCAAGUCGAACGGGACAGCUUGUAGCAAUACCGGCUGUUCAGUGGCGAACGGGUGCGUAACACGUGGGCAACAUGCCUGAAAGCGCGGGAUAGCCCGGGGAAACCCGGAUUAAUACCGCAUGUGACGCCGGAGGGGAAUCCCUCCAUCGUCAAAGGUGGGGACCGCAAGGCCUGCCGCUUUCAGAUUGGCCCGCGCCCUAUCAGCUUGUUGGUGAGGUAACGGCUCACCAAGGCGACGACGGGUAGCUGGUCUGAGAGGACGACCAGCCACACUGGAACUGAGACACGGUCCAGACACCUACGGGUGGCAGCAGUCGAGAAUCUUUCACAAUGGGGGAAACCCUGAUGGAGCGACGCCGCGUGGAGGAUGAAGGUCUUCGGAUUGUAAACUCCUGUCAUGAGAGAACAAGCAAGCCCGGCCAAUACCCGGGUAAGUUGAUAGUAUCUCAAGAGGAAGGGACGGCUAACUUCGUGCCAGCCGCCGCGGUAACAC
rnacentral:rRNA from 1 species